GACGAACGCUGGCGGCGUGCCUAAUACAUGCAAGUAGAACGCUGAAGAGAGGAGCUUGCUCUUCUUGGAAGAGUUGCGAACGGGUGAGUAACGCGUAGGUAACCUGCCUUGUAGCGGGGGAUAACUAUUGGAAACGAUAGCUAAUACCGCAUAACAAUGGGUGACCCAUGUCAUUCAUUUAAAAGGGGCAACUGCUCCACUACAAGAUGGACCUGCGUUGUAUUAGCUAGUAGGUGAGGUAACGGCUCACCUAGGCGACGAUACAUAGCCGACCUGAGAGGGUGAUCGGCCACACUGGGACUGAGACACGGCCCAGACUCCUACGGGAGGCAGCAGUAGGGAAUCUUCGGCAAUGGGGGCAACCCUGACCGAGCAACGCCGCGUGAGUGAAGAAGGUUUUCGGAUCGUAAAGCUCUGUUGUAAGUCAAGAACGAGUGUGAGAGUGGAAAGUUCACACUGUGACGGUAGCUUACCAGGAAGGGACGGCUAACUACGUGCCAGCAGCCGCGGUAAUACGUAGGUCCCGAGCGUUGUCCGGAUUUAUUGGGCGUAAAGCGAGCGCAGGCGGUUUGAUAAGUCUGAAGUUAAAGGCUGUGGCUCAACCAUAGUUCGCUUUGGAAACUGUCAAACUUAAGUGCAGAAGGGGAGAGUGGAAUUCCAUGUGUAGCGGUGAAAUGCGUAGAUAUAUGGAGGAACACCGGUGGCGAAAGCGGCUCUCUGGUCUGUAACUGACGCUGAGGCUCGAAAGCGUGGGGAGCGAACAGG
rnacentral:rRNA from 1 species